rnacentral:rRNA from 1 species
GACGAACGCUGGCGGCGUGCUUAACACAUGCAAGUCGAGCGGUAAGGCCCUUUCGGGGGUACACGAGCGGCGAACGGGUGAGUAACACGUGGGUGACCUGCCCUCAGCUCUGGGAUAAGCCUGGGAAACUGGGUCUAAUACUGGAUAUGACUCCACGGUGCAUGUCGUGGGGUGGAAAGCCUUGUGCGGCUGAGGAUGGGCCCGCGGCCUAUCAGCUUGUUGGUGGGGUGA